UUGAGAACAUCUGGUUUUAAU
ensembl:piRNA 21ur-5145 ncRNA